rnacentral:rRNA from 1 species
AGUGAACGCUGGCGGUAGGCCUUACACAUGCAAGUCGAACGGCAGCAUAGUAUAGCUUUGCUCUUACGGGUGGCGAGUCGAACACGGGUGUGGUAUACCUCGGCAUGUACUUUUUCGGGGGGGAAAUCGUCGGGAAACUAGCGAAAACACCGUACACGCCGUACGGGUGAAUGCGGGAGCUCAUGGCCUCUUGCUCGAUUGACUGCGCCGAUGUCAGAUUAGCUAGUUGGCGGGGUAAAGGCCCACCAAGGCGACGAUCCGUAGCUGGUCUGAGAGGAUGAUCAGCCACACUGGAACUGAGACACGGUCCAGACUCCUACGGGAGGCAGCAGUGGGGAAUAUUGGACAAUGGGCGCAAGCCUGAUCCAGCCAUACCGCGUGUGUGAAGAAGGCCUUCGGGUUGUAAAGCACUUUUGUCGGGAAAGAAAAGCAUCUGGUUAAUACCUGGGGUUGCUGACGGUACCGAAAGAAUAAGGACCGGCUAACUACGUG